GAUGUUUCAUGGAACUUCCUUUACACCAUAUGGACCUGAACAGCAAGUGGAUGAAUGUUAUGUUUUGUUAUCCUCAUAAAAAGCAUAAACACAAAUGCUCCUCCUAAACAGCUGGAGUGUAGAAGUUUAUACACUGAGGUCUAUGCCACACUUUCAUUACAAAGCUCUUAGUCUGUAUAAGGCAUGACCCAUAUACACCAAGGAAGGGGAAGACACAAAUAUAACUUGCAAGACCCAGUAUCUUAUGAGAGAGAUGGGAAAGGCCUCAUCAUAGCACACGUUUCUGCAACCAGG